rnacentral:rRNA from 1 species
UACGAAGGGGGCUAGCGUUGCUCGGAAUCACUGGGCGUAAAGGGUGCGUAGGCGGGUCUUUAAGUCAGGGGUGAAAUCCUGGAGCUCAACUCCAGAACUGCCUUUGAUACUGAAGAUCUUGAGUUCGGGAGAGGGAUGUGGAACUCCGGGAGUAGCGGUGAAAUGCGUAGAGACCCGGAGGAACACCAGUGGCGAAGGCGGCAUCCUGGUCUGUGACUGACGCUGAGGCGCGAAAGCUAGGGGAGCAAACGGG